AUUGAACGCUGGCGGCAUGCCUUACACAUGCAAGUCGAACGGCAGCACGGGUGCUUGCACCUGGUGGCGAGUGGCGAACGGGUGAGUAAUACAUCGGAACGUGCCCAGUAGUGGGGGAUAGCCCGGCGAAAGCCGGAUUAAUACCGCAUACGACCUACGGGUGAAAGGGGGGGAUCGCAAGACCUCUCGCUAUUGGAGCGGCCGAUGUCAGAUUAGGUAGUUGGUGGGGUAAAGGCCCACCAAGCCUUCGAUCUGUAGCUGGUCUGAGAGGACGACCAGCCACACUGGGACUGGGACACGGCCCAGACUCCUACGGGAGUCAGCAGUGGGGAAUUUUGGACAAUGGGCGCAAGCCUGAUCCAGCCAUGCCGCGUGCGGGAAGAAGGCCUUCGGGUUGUAAACCGCUUUUGUCAGGGAAGAAACGCUCUGGGCUAAUACCCCGGGGUAAUGACGGUACCUGAAGAAUAAGCACCGGCUAACUACGUGCCAGCAGCCGCCGUAA
rnacentral:rRNA from 1 species